rnacentral:rRNA from 1 species
CAGUCGCCGCGGGAAUACGAAGGGGGCUAGCGUUGCUCGGAAUUACUGGGCGUAAAGGGCGCGUAGGCGGACAAUUAAGUCGGGGGUGAAAGCCCGGGGCUCAACCUCGGAAUUGCCUUCGAUACUGGCUGUCUUGAGUGUGAGAGAGGUGUGUGGAACUCCGAGUGUAGAGGUGAAAUUCGUAGAUAUUCGGAAGAACACCAGUGGCGAAGGCGACACACUGUCUCACUACUGACGCUGAGGCGCGAAAGCGUGGGGAGCAAACAGGAUUAGAUACCCGCGUAGUACCUGUCUCUUAUAC